rnacentral:rRNA from 1 species
GCGUAAAGCGUGCGUAGGCGGCUUUUUAAGUCGGAUGUGAAAUCCCUGAGCUUAACUUAGGAAUUGCAUUCGAUACUGGAAAGCUAGAGUAUGGGAGAGGAUGGUAGAAUUCCAGGUGUAGCGGUGAAAUGCGUAGAGAUCUGGAGGAAUACCGAUGGCGAAGGCAGCCAUCUGGCCUAAUACUGACGCUGAGGUACGAAAGCAUGGGGAGCAAACAGGAUUAGAUACCCUGGUAGUCCAUGCCGUAAACGAUGUCUACUAGCCGUUGGGGCCUUUGAGGCUUUAGUGGCGCAGCUAACGCGAUAAGUAGACCGCCUGGGGAGUACGGUCGCAAGACUAAAACUCAAAUGAAUUGACGGGGGCCCGCACAAGCGGUGGAGCAUGUGGUUUAAUUCGAUGCAACGCGAAGAACCUUACCUGGCCUUGACAUACUAAGAACUUUCCAGAGAUGGAUUGGUGCCUUCGGGAACUUAGAUACAGGUGCUGCAUGGCUGUCGUCAGCUCGUGUCGUGAGAUGUUGGGUUAAGUCCCGCAACGAGCGCAACCCUUUUCCUUAUUUGCCAGCGGGUUAUGCCGGGAACUUUAAGGAUACUGCCAGUGACAAACUGGAGGAAGGCGGGGACGACGUCAAGUCAUCAUGGCCCUUACGGCCAGGGCUACACACGUGCUACAAUGGUCGGUACAAAGGGUUGCUACCUCGCGAGAGGAUGCUAAUCUCAAAAAGCCGAUCGUAGUCCGGAUCGCAGU